CUUUCUCUCAGUUAUUUUAAUUUUCAACCUAAUUUUAUGCUGAAUCUUUACCUUUAAAACCUUUACACCUUUAAUUAGUGUAAACCACACCUGCACUUUAUCCACCAAUUAAAUUAAAGAAAGUCUCGGCGCUGUUCCGGUGUUGGAUAAACAACUUCAGAAAGAUGAACACAAGCGCAUCUUACUGAACGGAACAAAGAUAAAUUUGUUGUGUGUCGUCAGUUUAAUACCUGUGGAGUAAACUGGAUCUGGGUCGUGGGAAGGACUUCUGAAAACUCGAGGAUAACUUCAAGUUUUGCUACCGUGUCUGUGGCUGAUUUGUGGAGUAUUCUUCCAGAAGACCUGCAGGCCAAGUGAUACACGGCAGAUUAUCACUGUUAAACUUCCAAUCACUGACCUCCUCUUCCUUGAAUGUAGCGGCCCACCCACUUCUUCACCACGCUGUAACCAGGGACACCCUCUACUGGUGUCGUCACCAUGUCUUCAUGGACCUCCCUGAGUGACAAAUCUGGGGCAGCAGACCAAAACAGCAGCGACACUUUGCAGCAGUCUGG